ensembl:lncRNA
CCCGCCCCCCCGUCCCCGCCGUGAGGGCCCGGCCCGCAGUGCUCGAGAGCGGCCCCGUCGGAGCCUUCCCGCGCUUUUUCCAUAAAAAAAAGGGCAUUCCACCGGGAAUUCCCAUCGCAUCCCGGCCUAAAGGCUCCAGCAGCACACCUCUGCACAGGACAGUGAAUGAGAGUUAUCACCGAGGCUGUUAAGGCUGCAAAACUGCUGGUAUAGGGAUUGCCAUGCUCAAAAAAACGAUGGAAUGUGGGAAAAUGCUCUUUAAACUGCCCCCUCCAGUCUAUACAUAAAGGAUGCAUAUUACUUAGAGAUAUGCUUUUACCUAAAAUUAUUCACGUAAGGUAUUUUACAGGAUUAAUUGCAUAACUGACAUUUAGAAAUACCCAGAUCUGGUCUUUGGGGUGAAUUACCCCAAUUUUGAGCACUCAAAAGCUGAAAAGUUCCCCAGGAGAAGCUGCUGCUCCUUCCUCUGAGUGUGGCCUGUUAAGCACUAAAGAAAACUGCACUCCACAAAACAAUUCUUGUAGUCUUGUGAUGUUUUUGGAUGUUUUUUUUACCGCUGCAUAAAUUUAUUAUUACAGCAGGCCACUAUCCCUAAAAAUCAUAUAAAUUAUGGAAGGAAUUGUGUCGCGGACGUGCUCCUGCACAGGCUUUGAGUUCUUUUGCAGGUAAAACACCCAUGUGUGCCUGCACAUGCAGGGCUCAGGUUCCCAAGGUGAAUAUAUUGAUUUAUUUCCUUGGCCCGUGGGAUCCCCAAGGUUCUGAAGCUGUUGGGAUACUGCAUUCCCACUGAACAUGGACGGAUUUCCGUGAACUUUAGUUCCACUCAACAAACACUGCCCGAGGCCCCUGCAGUUAAUAGAAACUCAGGACUACAGAGGUUCUUUUGUGUGAGACAAGAGUCUUAUCCAGGCUUGGAUCACACGGGGACCUCGGGGUGGGAAGUUCUGCAGCCCACGCCAGCCAAAACCCAUUUCAUUCCUGAGGAAUACGACUGUUGGUCAAAUUCCCCACACAGAAAAGGUCGGAAUAACAUCGCACAGAGCUGUUACUCACUCCUGGAUGCAGAGGAGGGAGGAAGCCCGAGCUGCACAUGCUUGCACCAUCUGCUGGCAGCAUCCUCACCGACAGACAUUCCUCGGAGGGAUUCUCUAAUUCCUCAUCCACACCUAGCGACACGAGGCCACCGCUAUAAAGGUUUAAGAUUCAGGUGAGGACUUGUUUUUCUCCAUAGUAGAGCCAUUUCUGCCAGGUUUGAAGGAAUUACACAGCAAAAUGACCCCAACACAGCCACCUCAAGCAGGGAACUGCAGAGCCUGGCCUCAUCCAGAGCUGUGCCAUCCCCUCCUGAAUUUCUGAACUCCCUGCUGGAAUCUCAGCUGAAGAAUGGGAUCCUGUCAGAUUCCUUGCCUAUCCCAGACCCUUGGUAUAUAUUAAAUUAAAGACAGCCCUUUGUUCCAGCCACAAACAUCAUAAUGUGAGUGAAUGAACAGCUCAAGUGAAAACGAAACUUGAUGAAAGCAUUUGUGAUGUUGAGGUGUGCAGGGACAGAUCAGUUCCUCCUUCUGCCCCACCCCUCGGUACAAGAAGAGGCUGUAAUUGGGUCACAGGAGGGAGGUGUCCAUGAAAACCAACAUCUCAUGCAGGCUGCACUCUGUGGAGUUCACAGCACCAAGAACAUCACUAGAUGCCCUUGCUUGGCUUAUAAAGAAAAUUGGCACUUUUAUAACAGGUAACAUCUUUAUCCCUGUGAAGCCAACAGGUCACAUUUGACUGGAACUGGAGGGAUCUUUAAGGCUUCUCCAGGUGCAGCUCCUGGGGAGGAUUACAGAGAGGUUGGCCCCUGAGUCAUCAGGCAUUAAACCACUACUGAAGGGCAGGAACUCCCAGUGUGGUGACUCAGUGGGAAUCAGACCAGGGAGCAGAGGGACAAAUGACACAUGAGUAAAAAUCCAGGAAACCAAAGCUAAGGCAGAGAACAGCUGAGCCUCUCUCCGUUAUGUGAAUGGGUUCUCUCUCCUAAGAGGAACAGCAUCACAGUAAGCCCAGGGUCAUGAACACACACCUGUCCACAAGAGAUUUAUGGAAAAAUGAGAACCAGUUUACAAGGGACAACUGAACAAAGAAAUUCCCUUUGAGUAGAUUUGGAGUCUGUCAACGGAUGUGUCAAUUCCAGCUGUGGCUGUGCCAGGGCCACCUGAGCUAUGAGCAACAAUUUCUCGUCCAUUGCAGAAUCCCAGACUGGUUUGGGUUGGAAGGGACUUCAAAGAUCAUCCCAUUCCACCCCCUGCUAUGGGCAGGGACACCUUCCACUAUUCCAGGUUGCUCUAAACCCUGUCCAACCUGGCUUUGGACACUUGCAGGGAUGGGGCAGCCACAACUUCUCUAGACAACCUAAAUACUUGUAAGGACAUAACAAUUUCUUUUUGGGAACACAACUACAGCAAAUUUAUUUGCCAGGCAAGCCCACGUGGUUUGAUGUGAACAUCACAAGGGUGAUCCGUGUGCCAUAAGCAAACAAAGUGUUUUCAUAUCACUUUGGGGAUCACAGGAUGUGCACAACCAGGGUGGCACAGGGCUGAAUCAGCAGCAGACCAUACAAGGCAGCUCUGUGAGCACAGCAGAAGUUUGCAGAGAAUCUACAAAAAUGGAUGUUGGCACAAACGUGACAUCCUAUAGAACAAUAAGGAUUCUGUGCUGCCUUUCCAAAGGGGCUCGAUCACAUCAGCCCCUGCCCAGGCACUGCAGGCUCUGGACACAACAUUAACUCUGUUUUCCUCCCAGCACAGGGCAGGAGCCUCUCCCUGCUCCUGUCUGGCUGCUCUUGGCAGCUGCAGGGCCUCCAGGAGGGUCUAAUCCCACCCCUGUAGGGAAACCUUCUUCCUCAGGGAGUCCCUUCCCCAUCCAAACCACCGUCCACCCUCCGAGGCAUUUCAGCCAGCCAGCAAAGUCCAGUGCCUCUUUUCAAAAACACACAUCAAAGCUGAAUCAGGUGGUGAAAGGCUGUAGGAAACCACAUUCUUCUUGUUGUUCUUUUCCCCUCUUAUAUUGACCUUUGAAAAGGAGCCCUUGGGCGGAUCCGGCGCGCAGCGUUCCGGGCAGCGGGGCUGACCUCCCGCCGUGGAAUUUCACCUAGUAAUUUCUGUGACACACAGAAAUCCUUGGAGCAGCUUGUCUGGCCUCAGAAGUAAAUCUAAGUGCCUGUGGCUUGACAAAUAAACAAUCUGAAAGCGCUUAAUGACUCA